CCUACGGGUGGCAGCAGUGGGGAAUAUUGCACAAUGGGGGAAACCCUGAUGCAGCGACGCCGCGUGAGCGAUGAAGUAUUUCGGUACGUAAAGCUCUAUCAGCAGGGAAGAAAAUGACGGUACCUGACUAAGAAGCCCCGGCUAACUACGUGCCAGCAGCCGCGGUAAUACGUAGGGGGCAAGCGUUAUCCGGAUUUACUGGGGGUAAAGGGAGCGUAGACGGCGUGGCAAGCCAGAUGUGAAAGCCCGGGGCUCAACCCCGGGACGGCAUUGGAAACUGAGUAGCUGGAGUGCAGGAGAGGCAGGCGGAAUUCCUGGUGUAGCGGUGAAAUGCGUAGAUAUUAGGAGGAACACCAGUGGCGAAGGCGGCCUGCUGGACGAUAACUGACGUUGAGGCUCGAAAGCGUGGGGAGCAAACAGGAUUAGAUACCCUUGUAGUC
rnacentral:rRNA from 1 species